AAACUGAUCGUGCAGCUUCUAUUUUUGGAACUGUCAAUUAUGGAUUUUGGGGAUAUGAAGAUGAAACUUUAGGCUAGUCUGCUAACAGUAUAGAGCCUGAUCAGACUGCUCAGAUGUACUGCAGACCUGGCUCUAUACUGGAAGCAAAGGUAAAAUCAAUUUUAGUGUGGGUUAAAGGCCUCUGUGACUAAAUUGUUAAGUUGCUUAUGGAACCAGAACAGUUAUCAUUGAGAAGCUCUCUCACAUAACCCAUUAGUGAUUGAAUAACCAACUGAAGUAAAAUAAGACUGUUGCCAUAUUACCAUUGGUGUGACUUUAACUAUUGUUCUCAUUUGUUUUGAUGGCCCAUUGUCUAUUGUCUGUGCGUCAACAACUUUUGUGAUCACAAUUUGUCCGGCGCCCGUCAGUGCAUCCGUCAUCAACUUUUAUACAAACCACGUCUCAGAAACCACUUGACCAAAUUUGAUGAAUUUUUCCAGGGAUGUUCCUAGCAUGAAACUCUACUAGAAUUGUUCAAAUGGUUCUACUCAAUUGAACAUCUGGGUCAGAAGGGCUAAAAAUAGAUUUUUGAAAUGAUUUCUCUAAAAAACUUUGUCUCUGAAAUUGCAAGGCUUAGAGCUUAAACAUUUUGUGUGUAGUAUCGUCUCAUGUAACUCUACAAAAUUUGUUCAAAUUAUAGCCCUGGGGUCAAAAUUGGCCCCACAGGGGGUCUUUGAUUUUUAGCUCACCUGAGCUUGCUCAAGGUGAGCUUUUAGGAUCAUUGAAUGUCCGUCGUCCGUCCACACUUGUUCGUUAACACUCUAGCGGUCACAUUUUUGCCUCAAUCAUCAUCAAACUUUGUCAGGAUGCUUAUCUAGUUGAUAGCUCGGAUGAGUUUGAACAUGGGUCAUCUCGGAUGAAAAACUAGGUCACAAGAGCUAAAAAUAGAAAAACCUUGUUAACACUCUAGCGGUCACAUUUUUGCUUCAACCAUCAUCAAAUUUGGUCAGGAUGCUUGUCUAGGUGAUAGCUCAAAUGAGUUCGAACAUGGGUCAUCUGGGAUGAAAAACUAGGUCACCGGAGCUAGAAAUAGGAAACCUUGUUAACACUCUUGCAGUCACAUUUUUGCCUCAAUCAUCAUCAGACUUGGUCAGGAUGCUUAUCUAGUUGAUAGCUCAGAUAACUUUGAACAUGGGUCAUCUCGGAUGAAAAACUACGUCACCGGAGCUAAAAAUAGAAAAAUCUUGUUUACACUCUAGUGGUCACAUUUUUGCCUCAAUCAUCAUCAAAAUAUCCUGUAAAUUGGUCUGAAAGUUUGUUAUGAUUUCUAGGUUAAGUUCGAAUAUGGGUCACCUUGGGCAAAAACUAGCUCACACUGCCCAAAUAUGGAAAAACCUUGUUAACAUUCUAGUGGUCACAUUUUUAGUGGUAUAGUUAUGGGGCUAUGUUCGGGGUCCUUCGUCGUGCGUCGUCAAAACAAUUGGGUUGUUAACAGGCUAGCAGUCACAGUUUUGAUUGGCUCAUCAUCAAACUUUGUCAGAAUGUUUGUCUCAAUGAAAUACAGAUUGAGUUCGAAGAUGGGUUAUCUCCAGUCAAAAACUAGGUCGCAGGAGCUAAAAAUAGAAAAAGCUUGUUAACACUAUAGUGGCUGCAAUUUUCAUCCAAAUAUUCUGGAAAUUUGUCAGGAAGGUUGUUUUGAUGAUUUCUAGGUCAAGUUCGAAGAUGGGUCAUCUCCGGUCAAAAACUAGGUCACAGGAGCUAAAAAUAGAAAAAGCUUGUUAACACUCUAGUGGCUGCAAUUUUCAUCCAAAUAUUCUGGAAAUUUGUCAGGAAGGUUGUUUUGAUGAUAUCUAAGUAGUCAAGUUCGAAGAUGGAUCAUGUCCGGUCAAAAACUAGGUCACAGGAGCUAAAAAUAGAAAAAGCUUGUUAACACUCUAGUGGCUGCAGUUUUCAUCCAAAUAUUCUGGAAAUUUGUCAGGAAGGUUGUUUUGAUGAUUUCUAGGUCAAGUUCAAAGAUGGGUCAUCUCCGGUCAAAAACUAUAUCACAGGAGCUAAAAAUAGAAAAAGCUUGUUAACAAAUUAGUGGCUGCAGUUUUGAUUAAAAUAUUCUGGAAAUUUGUCGGGAAGGUCAGGCUUCGCGAAAGUUGCCGGACCGUCGGACAUGUCCGACAAAAAUCAGGCCGGUCCGAUAUUUUUUUACGAGUUUCGGACCUUAUGUCCGGUACGAAUACCGGGAUAUAUCCAAGACCGAUCAAGACCGAGCUUUCUCCCUUGAAUAAAAAAAUGUAAAACGAGUUUUGAUUUGCCGUUUCAUUUUUAGUGUCCAAUCAAAUUCUAGAUACAUACAACUUUCGAUGAUCUUGUACUCAGAAGAAAAUGUCGGUGUUACUGCAUUGUUAAAUUAUUACGUUGGCGCUACGCCAGGUAAAAAACGUAAAUUAUCUAAUGAAGGAAAAAAGCGAAACAAAAGAAAUACGAGUCCAGGCGCCUGCCGAGAAAAUUUGUGGGUAAAUGGAAAAAUGGCCGCUCGUGGUUGGUUUUUAACGAGGAAGAAAAUAAGAUGAAAUGUACAUUGUGUCAUAAAUUUUAUAAAGAUCAUAUGAUGAUGAUGAUUUUGAUCAUGAAUGUUUAAAUUUCCAGACAGAGUCCAUCAAUCUGGAUAAACUGAUGUUUUAUUUAAGAGAAUAAAAUUGUUUUGCACAUCUUUAAAAGUUCCUAUGUCUUUAAAAAAACACAAAGGUAUUACCAUAUAUAUAUAUUUGGAAAAAAUUCGGUCAGACAAAAGUUCUUUCGGUCAGACAAAAAAUUGAAAGUUUGUCUGACCGAAUGUCAGGCAAAUGUUUCAGCAGUUUCGCGAAGCCUGGAAGGUUGUUUUGAUGAUUUCUAGGUAAAGUUUGAAGAUGGGUCAUCUCCGGCCAAAAAAUAGGCCACAGGAGCUAAAAAUAGAAAAAGCUUGUAAACACUCUAGUGGCUGCAGUUUUGAACCAGAUAUUCUGGAAAUUUGUCAGGAAGGUUGUUUUAAUAAUUUCUAGGUAAAGUUCGAAGAUUGGUCAUAUCCGGUCAAAAACUAGGUCACAGGAGCUAAAAAUAGAAAAAUCUUUUUAACACACUAGAGGUCACAUGUUUGACUCAGUUGUCAUCAAACUUGGCCAGGAUGCUUGUCUAAGACAUUGCUUGGAUGCGGUUGAUGGGUCAGGUGAGCGAUCCAGGGCCAUCAUGGCCCUCUUGUUGACUCAAUUAUCAUCAAACUUGGUCAGGAUGCUUGUCUAGGUCAUUGCUCCGCUGAGUUCAAACAUGGGUCAUCUCGGAUGAAAAACUAGGUCACACCGCCCAAAUAUGGAAAAACCUUGUUUACACUCUAGUGGUCACAUUUUUUACUCAAUUAUCAUCAAACUUGGUCAGGAUGCUUGUCUAGCUUAUUGCUCGAAUGAGUUCGAACAGUGGUCAUCUAGGUCACUGGAGGUAAAAAUAGAAAAAGCUUGUCAACACUAGUGACUACUGUUUUGAUCCAAGUAUCCUGGAAAUUGAUCUGAAAGUUAUUUUUGAUGAUUUCAAGGUCAAGUUCGAAUAUGGGUCACCUGGGUAAAAAACUAGGUCACACUGCUCAAAUAUGGAUAAUCCUUGUUAACACUCUAGUGGUCACAUUUUUGACUCGCCUGUCAUGAAACUUGGUCAGAAUGCUUGUCUAGGUAAUUGUUUGGAUGAGUUUGAUAAGUCAGGUGAGCGAUCUAGGGCCAUCAUGGCCCUCUUGUUUGUAUAUGCAUUCCAUUCUGCAAUUACCUUCCUUUAAUAACAUAAAUAAAGUUUUGCAUUAAUAACAAGAAAAUAAAUAAGAUUUUUAGCUCACCUUGCACAUAGUGCAGGUGAGCUUUUAGGAUGGCCAAUCAAAAGCGUCCGGUGUCCGUCCACAUUUUAUUUAGACGACAUCUUCUAUAAUACCACUUGACCAAUUUUAAUGAAACUUGGCAGGAAUACUCUUUGUAUGAAGCUCUAUCAAGAUUGUUCAAAGAAUGCCAUUCCAUGCUAAACUCUGGUUGCUAUGGCAACUAAAAGAAAAAACUUAAAAGUUCUUAUACUUCAAAAUGGAAAGGGCUAGAGCUUAGAUAUUUCUCACAAGGCAUGAGCUUGUUGGUUUCCACAAAGUAUAAUCAGAUUAUGGUCUACAGUUGAAAAUUGGUCUCUGUUUUGGGGGUUAAAGGUUUUUUUAUUGCAAGAUUGUAUAAACUGUCUUUGUAGGGAUAAAUUGAGAGUGUAUCUUGUAUUUUUUGUCUCAACAGACAUUGUUUUGAGGAUUUUUUCUGUUAAAGCAUUAGAAAGAUGAAAGUGUUGUUGAAUGUGAAUGUUAAUUCAAACAAAGUCAAUCAGAAUAGCCCCAAUUUCAGAGAUACAGUGUAGUUGAUUACCCCAUUCAAUAAUGGAUUCUUCCUUUAAUUUCGUAACAUCAUCAGAAAGGAGACUGUGUCAUUUCCGAAAUAAAAUGCAAUGUAUUUUGGUUCUUGACAUUGACUUGCACAUUUUAUUGUGUAAGAUAUUGCACAAAGAAACGAAAGUGAACAAAAAAGGUUGUAUUUUUUCACAAAAAAUAGCUUAUUAAGAUAAAAGUUUAAUUUACAGUGCGGAUAUUACUUAAAUUCUUCCUUCCAGUUUGCGGGAAAAAUCAUAUAUUUCAACAUUGUGUACACCGGUCUUACUGAAUCUGCUGAACGAUUUAUGACAUAAUAUUUCAUUCUGAUUAUAAACAUACAAUUCAAAUCAUUAAAUAAUAGAUAUCAAUCAGUCCUGAAACUUAGAAAACAUCUGUAUCAAUCUGACCUAUAAACCAAACUAAACUGGAAUUAGGACAAAAUGGCGGCCUUGAACAAGGAAAUUGAGAAAUUUUGUAACAUAAACUCGUAUUUCAAAACAAAGAAGUGAAGAUGACAACAAUUAUCGGUGUGCUUCGUUGAAACAGGUAUUUUGUAAACUAUAUAUGAAGUAUUAAGGGAUGACAUUUAGUAUUUAUGUAAAUAUCACCUCCCGUGAUAUGAUUUCUAAAAUUAUACAUGUUUACACCGUCUCAUUUUGGCGAUCUCCGAGGUCAUUUUUCUGAAUGACGUAAAUCCGAUGAGAAAUCGGGAAGGGUGUGUGUGCAUGUCUCAUUAAUUAGCGUGUGCACAUUGCUUGAUAAUGCUUGAUAUAUAUUUUAAAAUAAAUUUGUCCAUCUCAGACCAGUUUGUAAACGAAUCAAAACAAUUACAAUACGGAGAUUGCCGAUGAAAAAUUGAGCUAGAAUAUAUAAGAUCAGAUUUGAUUGGUCGUCGUAAUUUUUACCAGCCAAUGAAAUCGUUUGUUGUAUAGUCAUUUGAUGUCAAAAUACAUGUACAAAUACAAUGACAACAACAGUGAUGUGUUUACCGCCUGGUGUUAAUACUAACGAUCUGAAAAAGGAUGCAAAAAACAAAUGGAGGUGGGAGUGGUUAGCGGAAAAGGACUCUAAAGGUGAAAAAUGGGAUGCCAUGGGCUAUUGUGAAGUCUGUUCCAAAACGAUCAACUAGACAAAUCGAACAGAAAAAAGGUGCUUCUUAAUCACGAUGAGCUGAAGAUGAGGUCCACUAAAAGAAUCUUCGACCAAGUACUGCCAGGCUCAUCAAAAGCUGUGGACAAAAAGAUUGAAAGUAUGCAAGAUCGCAUUGCCAAACAAAGAGCAAUCACAACUGCCUUUCUUAGUGAACAUUGACUGCCAUUUUCCAUAGCAGGCGAUCUGUAACAUCAUCAGGCGAUCUCUAACAUCAUGCCAAACAUUUAGCUGAAGACAAGCCUGCUCUUGAAAAAACUACUCUUUCUCCAACCAGUGCAAUUUACAUAACAACACAUGGUGUAGCCAAAUCUGUUAAGGAUGGAGUGAAGUCAAAAGUGAAAGAUAAGUUAAUAUCUUUGAAUAUGGAUAAGGCAACUAACAAAAAUCAAUAACAAAGUACUGAAUAUAAUCUUUCAGUACUUUGAUGAUGAAACUAGUCAAGUAGUAAUGGAUCAUUUAGGAUUGAGAAUUCAAAAUGUUUCCACAUCUGAAGAAAUUGUCAAGUCAGUUGAAAGUGUGCUGCAUCAACAAGUGGAAGACAAUGGAAAAGAAUUAAAUUUAAGAUAUGAAUUUGAAAAUAGUAAAAAGAAUGAACAUAAUUUGUUAUGUGGAAUGUGUAUAUAUUGCUUAAAUAGUAUUGCUCAGUGAAUUUGUGUAAAUUUUAACAUAUCAGAUUAAUUACAUCUUAAGAUAAAUAAAGCACUUGAGUAUGUAUUUGAGCCUUUUUUUGAACUUUUAAAUUCACUAAAUUGCAAAAGCUUCUGAGGGCCUCCAGCCCCCUGAACCCCUAGCCAGGGCGUUGCCCUGGACCCACCGGGGGGCCCUAGCGGCCCCCUGGCCCCUCAACUUUUCUUUCAGUAUUUCCAGUUUCUGUAACUUAUACCCCUGCAUGUACACAUGUGUUUAUCACCUCAAUAAAUGUAAGUGAAAAUGGAACAAUAAUUAUGGUAAUUAUUCAUGGUGCUAGAAAUACUUAAUUAUCUUUAUCAUCAUGUUAACUAAGCAAGAAGCUUAUAAUUGCCUAACCUUACAAUAGUUAUCAAUUUAAACUUGAAAAUCUACCCUAAAUGACUUCCCAAACAGUCAUUUCUGAAAACAUGAAAAUGAUUCGUGUAGAAAAAUAACACAAGAAAAAACUGAUUUGACUCAUGAAAAUUUUUUGCCAAACAGUCUGCCAGGUGAAAUUCUGACCUUCCUGAGAUCCCUGCUGUUUGUUUUUUUUUAAUAACAUUUUACAUGAUUUAAUUUUAUGAUUAAACCUGUGUAUAGAGCCACUCAUGUGAACAGGAAGAAGUUUUUGUAGAAAGGGAUGUCCUAAUAUGAUAAACCAUAGAUGCUUGGGGGUUAGAUCCUGUCCCCAACAUGAUACCCCUGAGUAAACACUUUUAUCAGAAAUUAUUUUAAUAUUUAAACACUAAUGGGAUAUCUGGUACAACUAUAAUACUGGUUUUCGAAAAAAUUUACAUAAUCAUAUGCAAAAAAAAUACUGUUUACCAUCAUGUAUUGAGACUUGAUUCCGGGCAGGCAGGCGAAUUGGUUGGGCCAUUUUUGGUAACAGUUUUCUCAGCAACUACUCUACAGAACCUCAUAAUAUUUUGUAUACAGCAUUAACACAUUGUUCCAUACCAUGGGAUUCGAUUUCAGGUCUGUCACUCAUCCACUUCAUGUUUACUGACUUAGUUAAAUUCAUAAUAAUGGUCAAUGGUAGGAAUUUUUUCUAACAAUUUUCUCAGCAACUACUUAUCACAGCCUCUUGAUAUUUGGUAUACAGCAUCAACAUUUAGUCACAUACAAUGGGAUAUGAUUUCAGGUAUGUGGCUCAUCCACUUCCCGUUUGAUGACUUAGUUAAAUUUUCGGCAUUUAUUGUAAAUGGAAGGAUAUUUCCGUAACAGUUUUCUCAGCAGCUACAUAACACAGCCUCUUGAUAUUUGGUAAUGUGACUGCAUUAAUAUGUGGUCCCAAGUUCAGGUCUAUCGCUUAUCCACUUCCUGUUUACUGACUUAGUUAAAUGUUCGAAAUUAAUGGUCAAUGGUAGUACAUUUUUGUAACAUCACAGCCUCAUGAGUCAUGUUAUUUGGUAUACAAAUGCAACCUGGCCAUUUUUGUCUUUGACCCAUUUUUAUUGAAGUAUUAUCCAAAUUUGUACUUCGCCUUGUUAAUUAUGAUGACAUUGUUAAAAUUUUCAUGAUGUAAACACACUACAGGGAGUGUAUUUUUUAGCAACCUAUACUUUAAAGAAAAGAAAAAAAGAGGUAUUUCUAUACACUUGAUUGCAUUCCUGUUGCUGUUGGCCAAAAAUACUUUACAUUUGACACUAACUAAAUAACAUUAAAGUAUUUUAUAAACAUGUUGCUUGUUUUAAAUAAGAAAAAUCCAGUUAAAAUCUAUUCCUUAAGGUGAGCGAUAUUGGGCCAUCAUGGCCCUCUUGUUUAAUAUAAUUAUGGUUAAUUAAGAUAUGAAAAAAAUAUCUAAUGAAAAAUAAAUUUAUAAAUUUUCGUUAGCCCAAUCAUUUUUUCAAGUAACUGCUGUAUAUAUUGCAAGAGUUGAACAGCAUUUGAUAUUUGACUGUAUAUUUUAUUUGUAUUAACAAGCACAUGGCUGUAGUUGUAAUUACUCUAAUUUACCAAAGUGAAUGCAGUAAUACACAUCUUGACUACAUUAAUUGAUGAAUAGCCCAAGCUAUCUGUAAGUUGUAAUUAUCCUGGUAUAAUUACAUUGUAUAAUUUCUGUAAAAGCAAUUUAAACUGCAGUCAUGUUCUAUGUUAAGACCCUGAAACACAACUAUUUAGCUCACCUGAGGACAAUGUCACCUGUGUGUGUGUGUGUGUGUUUGUGUGUGUGUUAUAUAGAUUAUAUAGUGAACUUAAAAAAUCUUCUUGUGAAAAACCACUAGUCCAAUUUCAACCAAACUUUGCAGGAUUGUUCCUUGGGUGAAGGGCUUCCAAAGUUGUUCAAAAAAUUUCAUUCCAUGCAGAAAUCUGGUUGCCAUGGCAACCAAAAGGAAUUAUAAGAAUAAAUUUAAAAAAUCUUCUUGUAAAGACCCAAAAGGCCUAGAGCUUAGAUAUUUUGCAUAAGGCAUCAUCUGGUAGACCCUUACCAAGAUUGUUCAAAUUAAAGCCCUUGGGUCAAAAUCAGCCCCGCCCCGGGGUCAUUGAUUUUCGCUAUAUGUACAUAUAGUAAAAACUUUUUGUAUAGACCCAAAAGGCCUAGAGCUUAGAUAUUUUGCAUAAGGCAUUGUCUGGUAGACCUCUACCCUGAUUGUUCAAAUUAUAGCCCUGGGGUCAAAAUCGGCCCCGCCCCAGGGGUCAUUGGU